rnacentral:rRNA from 1 species
UACAGAGGUCUCAAGCGUUGUUCGGAUUCAUUGGGCGUAAAGGGUGCGUAGGUGGCGCUGUAAGUCGGGUGUGAAAUUUCGGAGCUUAACUCCGAAACUGCAUUCGAUACUGCGGUGCUUGAGGACUGGAGAGGAGACUGGAAUUUAUGGUGUAGCAGUGAAAUGCGUAGAUAUCGUAAGGAAGACCAGUGGCGAAGGCGGGUCUCUGGACAGUUCCUGACGCUGAGGCACGAAGGCCAGGGGAGCAAACGGG